AUUCGCAAAUAACAAGAGGAAUUCAUGUAAACGGUUCAACAUGGACCAAUAGGGUGUGAUUUGUAUGUCGCCGGGUUGUUUCCGCGUGUCUUCUCUUUUCUCCGCCGAACGACCGGUAGGGUGUGAUUUGGUCAGACCUCAGCUCUCUUUUGCCCAAAUGACUGAAAUUUUACGCUUGAGAGAAAGAUAGAGAGAGAGUUGGGAAUCAAAUCGAUCCUAACCCAAGUGAAUCCGCGUCUGAUUAUCUGAGCACAAGGUGAUUGAGCUUCCUCGAAGAAAGACAAAAGAGCUCCUACAUUUUGAUUGUUAGUCCCCUAACAAUUUGUUCAAGUCAGAUUUGAGGCCAUGUUCAAGGGAGGAGUUUAGAGAGAAGUACAGGAAGGAACAUCCCAGCAACAAAUUGGUCACUACUGUAGUAAUUGUUUUACAUGACCUUUGAAAACACAUUGUCUAGAUAUUUUUAACUUAUUUUUCAAUAAUCAUCUUUAGAUAUCUAGGUAAAAGAACUUAAUAAACUCUGCUAGGGAUCCAGGUGUUGCAUUUUACUAUACUAAACUUAUCCCAAACACUAUACUGUUUAGUUGGUAUUUUAUGGAUGGAAAUUUGCUAGCAUGCUGAUCUUUUUUUAGCUGUUUUCAGUUUGGCUGUGAACACUGCUGGCUAUUCUUCUUUGUUUUCUCAUUCCGUAUUUUUGAAACACCAAUUAUUACUGCAACUAAAAGACCCGCAGCAUCGUGCGCCCCUUUCUACCUAGUUCAUAGCUAAAGGAAGCCAAAUUUUCUUGCGAAAUUAUGUACUGUUCCACUGAGCUUCUCUCUUUUACAAAGCCUUUUAUAUUCCAAGUUUCAUCAUGUCAUCAUGUCAACUGUAAAGGAGAACUUGGGAAACUAAAUUUGUAUAAACAUAUAUCACAUAGCUCCUAGUAGACCUUCGUGGGUUGUUUAUAACCAGUGUUAUAUAUGUAUCUAUAUAUCCAUAUGACCAUAUGUAGAUGUAUAAGGGUGAUGCAAAGUAUAUAUAUGUAUGAGUUUUGAUGGAUUUGUUGGA